rnacentral:misc_RNA from 1 species
UUCGGUCAAUUGUUGCUCCACGAACUAACGUUGGAUGCARAACRUGGGUUCCUGUGUUGCGUACCUAUUGCGACGGAAAUGUGUGCCUUCGGUCUUCCCUUCCAUCACAGCAUCCUCUCGGAUGCUCGGUUGGACCGGAUAGUAGGGCUCGUGUUCCACGAACAUCAUCUYGCUUGAUUGUUCGRRCGGACCACGAGUGUCUACUCGUUCUCUCGGAUGCGGAAUUCUUCAUGGGUAUGGGGUCAUUGGCCCUUGUUCCCAAUUCGCUAAGCGUUUAACGCUUCACUGGAAUGACGCUCUUGCCUUGUCCUUGACCGAACGAAGCCUUCGGGCUUCGCGAUGGGUCAUGCUCGGCGGACGUCGUGAAGGAAUGC